rnacentral:rRNA from 1 species
GGGAGGCAGCAGUGGGGAAUAUUGAACAAUGGGCGCAAGCCUGAUGCAGCCAUGCCGCGUGUGUGAAGAAGGCCUUCGGGUUGUAAAGCACUUUCAGCGGGGAGGAAGGCGUUAAGGUUAAUAACCUUGGCGAUUGACGUUACCCGCAGAAGAAGCACCGGCUAACUCCGUGCCAGCAGCCGCGGUAAUACGGAGGGUGCAAGCGUUAAUCGGAAUUACUGGGCGUAAAGCGCACGCAGGCGGUCUGUCAAGUCGGA